UGCAUGUAUAUUAACAUUAUUCAAAUAAUUAUUAUAAAAAAAUUUUACUUAUAAAUCCAAUUUAAUAAAAAUAUUUCAAAUCUUAAACCAUAAAUAAUUUUAUUGUAAUACAUUUUAACUUAAAUAUAAUCUGCACCUUGACCUGACUUAUUUCAAACUAUAAAAUACAAAAAAUAUUUUAAAAAAUUUUUUUAAGACGGAGAUAUACAAAAUAAAUUUAUUUAAGUAAGAUUAAUGUGGAUUAUCAAUUAAAAAACAUAUUCCUCUAAUUAGAAUAUACACCGCCAAAUUCUUUAAGUUUCCUGCCCCAAACAUAUACUACUCUAAAUUAAAUUUACAUAAACUA
rnacentral:rRNA from 1 species